UACGUAGGGUGCAAGCGUUGUCCGGAAUUAUUGGGCGUAAAGAGCUCGUAGGCGGUCUGUCGCGUCGGAUGUGAAAAUCCAGGGCUCAACCCUGGACCUGCAUUCGAUACGGGCAGACUAGAGUUCGGUGAGGGGAGACGUGGAAUUCCUGGUGUAGCGGUGAAAUGCGCAGAUAUCAGGAGGAACACCAGUGCGAAGGCGGCUCGUGGGACGUAACUGACACUGAGGACGAAAGCGUGGGGAGCGAACAGGAUUAGAACCUACCGUGUCAGUCC
rnacentral:rRNA from 1 species